rnacentral:rRNA from 1 species
GUGGGGAAUAUUGGACAAUGGGCGCAAGCCUGAUCCAGCCAUACCGCGUGGGUGAAGAAGGCCUUCGGGUUGUAAAGCCCUUUUGUUGGGAAAGAAAUCCUGUCGGUUAAUACCUGGCGGGGAUGACGGUACCCAAAGAAUAAGCACCGGCUAACUUCGUGCCAGCAGCCGCGGUAAUACGAAGGGUGCAAGCGUUACUCGGAAUUACUGGGCGUAAAGCGUGCGUAGGUGGUGGUUUAAGUCCGUUGUGAAAGCCCUGGGCUCAACCUGGGAAUUGCAGUGGAUACUGGAUCACUAGAGUGUGGUAGAGGGAUGCGGAAUUUCUGGUGUAGCAGUGAAAUGCGUAGAGAUCAGAAGGAACAUCCGUGGCGAAGGCGGCAUCCUGGGCAAACACUGACACUGAGGCACGAAAGCGUGGGGAGCAAACAGGAUUAGAUACCCGAGUAGUCC